GGAGAGGUGGCAGAGUGGUCGAAUGUACCUGACUCGAAAUCAGGCGUGCGGUAUCCCCGCACCGUGGGUUCGAAUCCCACCCUCUCCGCCA
rnacentral:tRNA from 1 species